GAGAUCGAGGAUUCGUCCAAGUGAAGCAGAGGACAGUGGCGGACGGGUGAGUAACGCGUGAGGAACCUGCCUUUCAGAGGGGGACAACAGUUGGAAACGACUGCUAAUACCGCAUGAUACAUUUGGGUGGCAUCAUCUGAAUGUCAAAGAUUUAUCGCUGAAAGAUGGCCUCGCGUCUGAUUAGCUAGUUGGUGAGGUAACGGCCCACCAAGGCGACGAUCAGUAGCCGGACUGAGAGGUUGACCGGCCACAUUGGGACUGAGAUACGGCCCAGACUCCUACGGGAGGCAGCAGUGGGGAAUAUUGGGCAAUGGGCGCAAGCCUGACCCAGCAACGCCGCGUGAAGGAAGAAGGCUUUCGGGUUGUAAACUUCUUUUAAGAGGGAAGAGCAGAAGACUGUACCUCUAGAAUAAGCCACGGCUAACUACGUGCCAGCAGCCGCGGUAAUACGUAGGUGGCAAGCGUUGUCCGGAUUUACUGGGUGUAAAGGGCGUGCAGCCGGGAAUGCAAGUCAGAUGUGAAAUCCAUGGGCUUAACCCAUGAACUGCAUUUGAAACUGUAUUUCUUGAGUACUGGAGAGGCAAUCGGAAUUCCUAGUGUAGCGGUGAAAUGCGUAGAUAUUAGGAGGAACACCAGUGGCGAAGGCGGCUUGCUGGACGACAACUGACGCUGAGGCGCGAAAGCGUGGGGAGCAAACAGGAUUAGAUACCCUGGUAGUCCACGCUGUAAACGAUGAAUACUAGGUGUGGGAGGACUGACCCCUUCCGUGCCGCAGUUAACACAAUAAGUAUUCCACCUGGGGAGUACGACCGCAAGGUUGAAACUCAAAGGAAUUGACGGGGGCCCGCA
rnacentral:rRNA from 1 species